GCUAUUUUAACUUAUGGUGCUCCCAUCAGUUAGUAUAUAUGUUCCGAUCUACACUAAAAUUUCUGUGUAUAUAUGCUUAUCAGUUAUGCUCUCCUGUUGUCAUUAUGUUUUGUAGGUGGUGAAACUUUGUUUAUCUGAAAGAAAACCAACUACCUAUGUCCACAAUAUUGCUGACCCACAAGUAUAAAUGAUGGGAAAACAUAAUCAAGCAAGACAAGAUGUUUGAUGAGGUUAUCUGUAAAUUGCGGCAAGAGGAUCAAGGUGCUCAUGGUGGCUAUUUUCAUUACUCAUGAAAGAUUUUGUUGUGCGAGCAAAUCAUAUGAGUUGUUGUAGAAGGCAACAUCUUAGUUUUGUUGGUACUUAGUGUAGCUUGGUUAUUCCCUUAGUAUUUCGUGUGAAAUAUUGUACAAGUACAAAUGUUGAUGGCUUCAAUGAAUAUGAUAAGCAAUAUUUUGUCAA